rnacentral:rRNA from 1 species
AGGGUGCGAGCGUUAAUCGGAAUUACUGGGCGUAAAGCGUGCGUAGACGGUUAUUUAAGUCGGGUGUGAAAGCCCCGGGCUCAACCUGGGAAUUGCAUUCGAGACUGAGUAGCUAGGGUACGGUAGAGGGAAGCGGAAUUUCCGGUGUAGCGGUGAAAUGCGUAGAUAUCGGAAGGAACAUCAGUGGCGAAAGCGGCUUCCUGGACCAGUACCGACGUUCAGGCACGAAAGCGUGGGGAGCAAACAGG